rnacentral:tRNA from 1 species
GGGGUUGUGGCUCAGUGGUAGAGCACUCACCUAAUAUGUGUGGGGCCCUGGGUUUGAUCCUCAGCACCA